rnacentral:rRNA from 1 species
GACGAACGCUGGCGGCGUGCUUAACACAUGCAAGUCGAACGAGAGCGUAGAGAAAGCUUGCUUUUUCUACAAUCUAGUGGCAAACGGGUGAGUAACGCGUAAACAACCUGCCCUACGGAUGGGGACAACAGCUGGAAACGGCUGCUAAUACCGAAUACGUUCCGAAAGUCGCAUGACUAUCGGAAGAAAGGAUGGCCUCUAUUUAUAAGCUAUCGCCGGAGGAGGGGUUUGCGUCUGAUUAGCUAGUUGGAGGGGUAACGGCCCACCAAGGCGACGAUCAGUAGCCGGUCUGAGAGGAUGAACGGCCACAUUGGAACUGGGACACGGUCCAGACUCCUACGGGAGGCAGCAGUGGGGAAUCUGCCGCAAUGGGCGAAAGCCUGACGGAGCAACGCCGCGUGAGUGAAGACGGCCUUCGGGUUGUAAAGCUCUGUUAUACGGGACGAAUAAUCUUGUGGUUAAUACCCAUGAGAAGUGACGGUACCGUAAGAGAAAGCCACGGCUAACUACGUG